GUGAAUCAUCGAAUCUUUGAACGCAAAUUGCACUCUCUUCUAAGAGUAUGCCUGUGUGAGGGUCAGUAUUAAUAAAAAUCGGUGUGUUGCUUCUGUGUGGCGCGCCUGAGUUUGGGUCAUCUUAAUAUCCUUUAUGUUUUAAGAGGCUUAAAAUUGACUUUUUUUGCGCAUUUUAUAUGUACAUAAAUUCUUUUUUUUAUUCAUCUGUCUUAAUACUCAAAAUCCUAUUAGAUGCGACCAUAUCGUGUGGUUUCUUGUCCAUAACAUUUUCAUGAUUUGACCUCAAAUCAGGUAGGAUUA
rnacentral:misc_RNA from 1 species